GACGAACGCUGGCGGCGUGCUUAACACAUGCAAGUCGAACGGUGAACCUCGUCGGAGGGGAUCAGUGGCGAACGGGUGAGUAACACGUGGGCAACCUGCCCCCGGCUCUGGGAUAACUCCAAGAAAUUGGGGCUAAUACCGGAUGUUCACCGCUUCCCGCAUGGGUGGUGGUGGAAAGGGUUUCCGGCUGGGGAUGGGCCCGCGGCCUCUCAGCUUGUUGGUGGGGUAGUGGCCUACCAAGGCGACGACGGGUAGCCGGCCUGAGAGGGUGACCGGCCACACUAGGACUAAGACACGGCCCAGACUCCUACGGGCGGCAGCAGUGGGGAAUCUUGCGCAAUAGGCCGACGCGUGACGUAGCGACGCCGCGUGGGGGAUGACGGCCUUCGAGUUGUAAACCUCUUUCAGCAGGGACGCAGCGCAAGUGACGGUACCUGAAGAAGAAGCACCGGCCAACUACGUG
rnacentral:rRNA from 1 species